rnacentral:lncRNA from 1 species
UCUCGAAACUGUGCGUUUGCGGCACUGAAAUGUUUUUAUCUCGGCUAUUCAUUAACCAAUUUGAAAAAUUAUUGUGGUAGAACACUCCCUAGAGGGCACGUAACAACUUCCAACGU